UACGUAGGGGGGCUAGCGUUGUCCGGAAUCAUUGGGCGUAAAGAGCGCGUAGGCGGCCAGAUAAGUCCGGUGUGAAAGUCAAGGGCUCAACCCUUGAAUGCCGCUCGAUACUGCCGGACUAGAGUCCGGAAGAGGCAAGUGGAAUUCCCGGUGUAGCGGUGAAAUGCGCAGAUAUCAGGAGGAACACCGGUGGCGAAGGCGGAUCUCUGGGCCUUACCUGACGCUCAGGUGCGAAAGCUAGGGGAGCGAACGGG
rnacentral:rRNA from 1 species